UGGGGAAUAUUGGACAAUGGGCGCAAGCCUGAUCCAGCCAUGCCGCGUGUGUGAAGAAGGCCUUUUGGUUGUAAAGCACUUUAAGCGAGGAGGAGGCUACUUGGAUUAAUACUCUAGGAUAGUGGACGUUACUCGCAGAAUAGCACCGGCUAACUCUGUGCCAGCAGCCGCGGUAAUACAGAGGGUGCGAGCGUUAAUCGGAUUUACUGGGCGUAAAGCAUGCGUAGGCGGCUUUUUAAGUCGGAUGUGAAAUCCCUGAGCUUAACUUAGGAAUUGCAUUCGAUACUGGGAAGCUAGAGUAUGGGAGAGGAUGGUAGAAUUCCAGGUGUAGCGGUGAAAUGCGUAGAGAUCUGGAGGAAUACCGAUGGCGAAGGCAGCCAUCUGGCCUAAUACUGACGCUGAGGUACGAAAGCAUGGGGAGCAAACAGG
rnacentral:rRNA from 1 species